rnacentral:rRNA from 1 species
UGAGCAAUCUGCCCUUCUCAUCGGAAUAAGCGUUGGAAACCGCGUCUAAUGCCGAAUACGACCUCCUUUCGCAUGAUCGGAGGUGGAAAGCUCCGGCGGAGAAGGAUGAGCUCGCGGCCUAUCAGCUAGUUGGUGUGGGUAAUGGCCCACCAAGGCGACGACGGGUAGCCGGCCUGAGAGGGUGACCGGCCACACUGGGACUGAGACACGGCCCAGACUCCGUACGGGAGCAG